UGCGAACUUUCACAAGCCUCCUGGAUUCUGUCUGCUCUGGACUCGCCUGACUUCUUUAACCUCUCUGUCUUCCAGCCCCUCACUCACCUGCCUGCUCUUCCUCACACUGGCCUGGCAGGUUUCCUUCCCAGGGAACAAACAGGCUGUAGUUCUCCUCCCCAAGACUGGACAGGGCUGACAACCCCACCCCCAACUCCAAGAGGGCUUCCCUGAUGACUGCUAAAAGCAGGGAGAACUUGAAAGUCUGGGCUGGCCCCAGGUUCUGUCCUCUGCUUCGUGCUUGCCUUAUGAUGCUCUUACCCACCUGGCUCUGCCCGGAGGAUGGAGACUUGCCAUGCUGGAAGAGGAGAAGGCACCACUUCUUCUGGUCUGCUGGCUGUGGGCUUGGCUUUCAGGCUGGAACUCAGGACCUUGUGCUUGCCAGGCAGGUGCAGCGGGCUACAUCCCUGGCCCAACAUGUCCUUUUGAUGCAAGUGACAUUUGUAUUUAAUGUACCAAAUUGUUAAUCUAAGUUUUAUAAUGUAAUUUAUACCAAUCCUUUCAAAGAUGGCAUUAUCUAACCUUUAAAGUAUGAAUAAAGUGUGUCUACAUUAUUGUUUAUAAAGAGACUUUGUAACUAAAUCAGAGUAUAUAGCAGAUUCUAAGUGACCAUUAUGUAUUACUUUUAAAAUUUGAAGGCGUGAAACAGGUUCAGUCAUAAGAAGAUGCACGAAAGAAAAAGUACCCAGUGCAGUGGGUAUACGUUUUUAUUUCAUCAUUUAAUCAAUCAUUUUGGAUGAAUGACAUACUUCACUUUUACACUGUUUGCACUUUAUUUUGCACAGGCAUUUCAUUAAUUAUUACCUCGAUUUGAGAGGCAACCCCUCUGCAUAUAGCUUUCAGUCUGAACCAAAGAGUUUGUCAUGGCUAAAUAAUUACGUAUUUAAGAAAAUCCCCAAAACAAAACUAAACAAAAAUAUGCAUGAAAACCCUCCCGAAUUUCAGGUAUUCUGACUAAAAUGAUAGACAGAACUGGAUUGCAUAACCGGUCCUGGUACCUGUAAUUAGUGACCUGUGUGUGCUUUGUGCUCUGUAAUUACUUCUACCCACCAGAGGCAGCAUGUUGUCUUCAUGACUGGUGGUCAGUGAUGAGUUGCAAUGGAGGAGGGGGAAAGGGGAUAGAAAGGACACAGGAAAGAGGAAAGAUUGGCCAAAGUUCUUGAUAUUGGCCAAAAAUAUGCUGAGUUUUAAUAAAGGGAAGGCAUACCACAGAAAACCACCUCUUCCUCACUUAUGCAUUUUUAUGUGUUUUUUUAAAAUAUUAUUUUUUAUCUGCUCAUAUUCCUUCCUAACCCAAUUGUGUGCCAAGAACAGAGGUCAAGGGUUGAGACAGAGCAAAAUUUCUGAGACCUGGGACAUAAAAGAAAGC
rnacentral:lncRNA from 1 species